GACGAACGCUGGCGGCGUGCCUAAUACAUGCAAGUAGAACGCUGAAGAGAGGAGCUUACUCUUCUUGGAUGAGUUGCGAACGGGUGAGUAACGCGUAGGUAACCUGCCUUGUAGCGGGGGAUAACUAUUGGAAACGAUAGCUAAUACCGCAUAACAAUGGAUGACACAUGUCAUUUAUUUGAAAGGGGCAAUUGCUCCACUACAAGAUGGACCUGCGUUGUAUUAGCUAGUAGGUGAGGUAAUGGCUCACCUAGGCGACGAUACAUAGCCGACCUGAGAGGGUGCUCGGCCAAACUGGGACUGAGACACGGCCCAGACUCCUACGGGAGGCAGCAGUAGGGAAUCUUCGGCAAUGGGGGCAACCCUGACCGAGCAACGCCGCGUGAGUGAAGAAGGUUUUCGGAUCGUAAAGCUCUGUUGUAAGUCAAGAACGGGUGUGAGAGUGGAAAGUUCACACUGUGACGGUAGCUUACCAGAAAGGGACGGCUAACUACGUG
rnacentral:rRNA from 1 species